UCCUUUUUCAGACUGUAGAACAAUUAGACAAAUUGAUUAAGGGCACAGAAUAGGGGUGAUUACUUUUCCUAGGCCAGAUACUUAAGCUUUACAGGCCAGCUAAUCUAGUGCACGUGUGUCUGUGUAUAUUAAACACUCCUUCAAGUUUUAAAAACUGCUUAGCGGGAGAGCAGUACAAAAAUAGGUUGCAGGCAGGACCCCCUUCCUCAACAGAUCAUCAUCAGUAGCUAAAAAUCUUUCCAGAAAGCUAUGACUUCUCUGGCAAAAUUUUACCAACUAUUUUAAGAAGUGUAAAGAUAGGAAGUUCACUUUUACACAAACUAAAGGCUAGAGUAACAUAAGAAAACCCAACAAGAUAUAUGAGGAAUGGAAAUUUAAAGAAAAUAUGCAGUCUUUAUAAAUGCAAAAGUCCCAGAAAAAUCUUAGCAAAAUGGGACUCAGCAGUUAAUAAAAAGGAUGAUAUUCAGGGGAAGGAAGGUGGUUUUAACAUGAGAAAACCUGUAAAUGUAUUCCAACCUAUUAAUAAAUUAAAGGAGAACAAUUGUUAGUAAGUGCAGAAAAUGCUUUGAUAAAAUCCUAUUGAUUAAAAACGGUUAACAAUGUAGGAAAUAGAAGGGGAGAACUUCCUUAACCUAAAAAAAUAUUUACCAAAAAUCUAUAGUAAAUAUUAGCAGUGAUGCAGUGAAUGCUUUCCCUUUGAGGAAAGGGCUGAGACAAGGAAGAAUGCCUACAGUCAGCCCAUCUUCAGUAAUUUACUGGAAAUCCUAGACAGCAUAGUACAGCAAGAAAAAUAAAAGAUACAAGGAUUGAGAAGAAACAAAGCUCUUAUUUUGUACAUACAAGACUGUACAAACAAAACCACAAGAAGCUACAAACAAAUGUUUAGAAUAAAAGCUAAGCAGAGUUGUUGGAUAAUCAGUAUAAAAAUCAAUUUCAUUUAUACACAAAAAGUAAAAUUUAAGAAAAGAUGCCAGUUACAGUGGUAUCAGAAUAAAUUAAGGCCUUUGAGAAAAAUCUAACAAGAGCUAUGCAAGACUUCUCUGAAGUUUCUAACACUUCCCUGAGAAACAGAAAAGAUGACCUCUCUUAGUGGAGAGAGAACUAUGUCAGUGGCAGGGAGGGCUAAACUGGUGUUAGAUCCAUGGAGCCAAACUGUAACUGCAACCCACAUCUCCAGUCUUUUUUUGUGAAACUUGUUCAAUUGAUUCUGAAGCUUACAGGGGAAUGGAAAGAGACAAGAUCAUUUGAACAACAAGGUGGGAAGGUUUGCCCCUCCAAAUAUCAAGCUAUAAUGAGUGAGCUCUGUGUCAGUGCUAGAGUACUUGUCAAGACCAGAGGAAGAGAGCUGAGGAACAGAUGCAGGGACACACGAAUCCUGACAUAACUCAGGGAUACGUGAAUUCUGACAUAACUCAGAGGAAGCAACUGCAGAGCAGCAGUGGAGGGAUACAGUCCUCAGUAAGGACGGUGGCACAACUGGAUAACCACAUGGGAAAAACAUUUCCCAGAUUACUGCCUUACCAUACACAAAUCAAUUCCAGAUUUAUUAAAAACCUACAUGUGGAAAAACGAAACUCAAAGCCCUUUUAAGUAAUAUAGGAGAGCGUAUCCAUGACCUCAGGGUCGAAAAUAGCUUCUUAAAUAAGCCAUAAAAAGUCUGAUUGUAAAGGAGAGGCUCAUAUGCAACUUCAGUGAAGUUUCUGUUCAUCAAAAGUUACAUGAGGAUAAUAACAAGUCAAGCCACAAACUGGGAAAAGAUUGGCAACAAUCCUUUACACAAUGUCAACUACCCAGAAUACAUAGAGGACCACAGCUGGGGGGAAAAAU